CGGUGUGCCAAUUUAAUUUAAAAUCGGUUAAGUAGUUUAGGAGUCAAUCGCGGACAAACAUCGUGACAUGAGAUUUAUAUAUAUCAAGAUAUAAUUUAAAAUUAUUCUUUCGCUUCUCUAUAAAGGUCAAACACUUUUUAGCAUUUCUCAGAGUCUUUUCAUCGCAGUCAAUAGUAAGACUGGGUAUCUGGUACCCAAGUGAUAAAGCAACCAACAAGUGUCCUUUACCACCACCCGCUUCAACACAAUGUGUGGCUCCACACAAGUUAUGGAGGGAUGCCACAUAUGCUGACAUUGAUUGAACCUGAAGUUAUAUAUAUAUAUUUAUAUCGUAAGGAUUAUUUUUAUAAGGAUUGUGUGAUCAAUAAAUUACAACUAGUAAUAAAUGUAUAACUCACUU